AAAAAAGAGCAAGAAACGCCUGAACCAAAAAAAAAAAGAAGGAAAGAAAUCAAAUGGUCAGGUGGAAUAAUGGCUGCCAAGGGGCAUGGAAAGAUAAAAAAUGAGUAGCAGGAACCUCUGAUUCUGAGACAUUCCGUGGAAGAAACAAUUGUUAAUCUGGUACUUGAUAGCCCUCGAGAGGUUUAUGAGGUGCAUACUGUGUCAGCAUGACGAGUC
rnacentral:lncRNA from 1 species